CAAACUCGUGCACACAUGUCAGUCCUUCGCAGCUCUGCUGACAACUGCCAAACGGCCCAAAGGUCAGACAUAAGCCCAAAGCCCACUGUGAGUAGAAUGGAUAAAUGAAUGUAGUAGGCUCACACAAAGGAAUCUCAUCUAGCCUGGGAAUGUAUGAACAGGAGCGAUGUGACACAGAAGUUCCACAGACCGGACAUGGACAGAAGGAUACUUUUGUCAGAAAGAGAGCAUCCUUCAGCUUUAGGCAUCCUAACCUGACUGCACAGGGUAAAGAGUGUGACAUUUAAAGGCUGACAGGAAGCUACUUCCGUGGUCCCCGCCUCACUGUGGAGUCUCUGCAGACUAAGAAAAAAGCCCGAAGUGUUCCAUCCUGACAUCCCCUCUCCUUUGAGAACCUCGACAUACCAUUCCCAGCCUACAGCACAACCAGGGGGUUCCCAGCAGUGAACCCUGAGCAGGGGGAACAUAACUAGCCU
rnacentral:lncRNA from 1 species